rnacentral:rRNA from 1 species
AUGAUUGCUCAGCUAAAAAUGUCUGAAAUGUCUUACUAUAGUUCUAAUUCAAUUGACGAUAGCACUGCUAAUCAUUCCACUCUUGAAGCAUUAUACCCAACAGAGUUUCUAAACACAAUUCCGAUGCCCGGACUUCCUGACCAUAAGUUGCACUUGAAGAUUGGUGUUCCAAUUAUGCUUUUGCGCAAUCUUGAUCCAUCAAGGGGACUUUGUAAUGGUACUAGGCUGAUUGUCACCCAAUUGACAAAUCGUGUGAUUAAAGGUGAAAUCAUAACAGGGAAGGCUAGAGGUUCAAAAGUAUAUAUCCCACGCAUUGUCACAACAUCAACUCACUCAAGGUGGCCCUUCAAAUUGAGACGGCGCCAGUUCCCCGUGCGCCUUUCGUAUGCAAUGACCAUAAACAAGAGUCAAGGGCAAACCUUAAAUAGAGUUGGAGUCUAUUUGCCAUCUCCAGUGUUCUCUCAUGGUUAA